GUCCACGGACUCGCCGACCUGACUCAAGAUCCCUCGACCAAGGGUUGAGGCGCCCGAGGUCCUACCAUGGGGUCUGAAACUCCCUCGACCUCGCAGAAAGCUACAAUUCAAUGAAGCCUCGCCAAAUCCUCUCAACCUCGGUGGGCGCUGUUGGGUCCGUGAGAAACCCGAGCCCCCCCUUUAAGUCAAAAUGACUCCGGAGGUCGACGAGGAAAGGAGGCAACCUACUCCACCAUGCGAAGCAUAACUCCGAGAAUGCAAGAGGUACGUCUAACUAGAUGCCCUCCUUGUCAAAUUUUAUCUACAUACUGCUGAGUGGAAUCUCAACGUUGGAGUCUUAUCACGCCCCAAAGCCGGGCUUCUCCAAUAGGUCGGCUUAAGACCGACCCCCUAACUACGCUAUGUAUGCUCCAUUCGUCAAGUCUCCGCAAUUUGUGCAAAGGCUUCAUAAAUUAGGGCCCA
rnacentral:lncRNA from 1 species